UUUAUACUUAUUGUUGAUACUCUAGUUGGUCAUUAUUCAUGUAUUAAAUCAUACUGAUAUUUACAAUUUCUUCUGUAUUUUUCUUGUAGGAGAUCUGAUGGUUCAUCGGAAAAUGGUGUAGUGUGUGUGUGUGUGUUGAUCUGACGGGACAAUUAUUUCAUUAUAUAUACUAGAUGAUAUUUUCCAUCAUGUUAUCAAGACGAGAGACAAGGCAGUAAGAAUUGCAAUGUUUUUAGUUGCUCAGCAUUGUGAAAGACGAGGCAAGUGCAGAACAGAGAUCUGACCAUGGUUAUUGAAGUGAAUGUAAUAUGUUAGCAUGGAAAAGCUGUGAAUUUAUUCGAUUCUCUUAAGAAAGACAAGUUUAUUAUGACUGAUGCUUGCUGAACAAGUUGUUAAAUAUUUGACAGAGGAUCGCCAUGUGAAUUGAUAAUGUGACAUUAAAAAUUGUAUAUAUAUGGCAACUGAUUGAUACAGAGUUGUGUGCUGGGCAGUGCCGUGUGGGGGACGGGUAGAGGAGCAUGUUUCUUGAAGUGUUGCAAAAAUUGCUAAAAAGAACCAAUUAAGACAUUGUUUAUGAUUGGUAAAGACCAUCAACUGGAGCAGUUUUUAUAAAUGAUUAAUUAAAUAUUCAUUAUUUUAUUACAUUCUUGACAUUAGAUCACCCUCUUUGUGUCAAAUUAUGUUCUACCACAGGGCAGCAGUAUCAUAAGCAAAAUGGGGCCAAUACAAAAAUGAAACAUUUUGAUGGAUUGAGAAAAUGGGCUGAGUGUAAAAAGUUUGAAAUGUUAGGUGUUUUUAAACACAUUUUUAAAAAUUCAUCAUUUUUGCAUUGUAAUUUUAAGUUUAUUUGAAACAUAAGUAUUGUUUUUAUUCCCUUAAUGAUUUAACCAGAGGUGACUUGGGUAUACCCUCUGUCCUUCUGCAUGUUCAUCUGUCCACCAAACUGG